CUAAUUUCAUAGGCUUCUUAUGACUUGGGAGUUGUGAAUUUUUAGAAGAAAGCCUCAGCUGGUAAUUAAUUUUUAUUUCAUUUAUUUGAUCUCAUGGCUUGUUUCGCAAUUUCAUCUGAAUUAUUUAGAAUGGGUCAAUCGGCUUACUGUUAAAUUUGGAAUGCAAUUUUAAUGAUUCGUUCAGACUUUUGUGGACAGAUUUUGCAUCAUUGAAUGUCUUCUAGUCUAGUUUAAUUUGAGUAUUUUUUUUCUUUUUUUCUUUUUUUGAGAGUUCCCCUUGUUUUCUAAAAUUUUAUAAUUCCUUGCAUACUUUGUAUGAUAAAAUUUCAUUAAAAGCCUUCAUAUUUUAUAAUUCCUUGAAAACAUCAUUGCUGUUCUGUUAUUUUAGUUUGUUCAUUUAGUUUGGUUUGCUUCACACCUAUCUUUGUUUGGAAACUUUUUUUUAUUUUUUUGAUGAUCUUUCCAAAUGCUCUCCCCUAUGAACACAUAAUUAAGACCAGCUGAAA
rnacentral:lncRNA from 1 species